rnacentral:ncRNA from 1 species
GGUCGGGUAGCGAGCAAAAGAUAAAACACCUUUUCGAAGGAAAAAUUGCUGGCCGUCUAUCUGCGGUGUUGAAGUACCCGACCGCCCUCUC